rnacentral:rRNA from 1 species
GAUGAACGCUGGCGGCGUGCUUAACACAUGCAAGUCGAACGGAAAGGCUCCUGCUUGCAGGGGUACUCGAGUGGCGAACGGGUGAGUAACACGUGGGUGAUCUGCCCUGCACUUCGGGAUAAGCCUGGGAAACUGGGUCUAAUACCGGAUGGGACGAUGGUUUGGAUGCCAUUGUGGAAAGUUUUUCGGUGUGGGAUGAGCUCGCGGCCUAUCAGCUUGUUGGUGGGGUAAUGGCCUACCAAGGCGUCGACGGGUAGCCGGCCUGAGAGGGUGUACGGCCACAUUGGGACUGAGAUACGGCCCAGACUCCUACGGGAGGCAGCAGUGGGGAAUAUUGCACAAUGGGCGCAAGCCUGAUGCAGCGACGCCGCGUGGGGGAUGACGGCCUUCGGGUUGUAAACUCCUUUCGCUAGGGACGAAGCGUAAGUGACGGUACCUGGAGAAGAAGCACCGGCUAACUACGUGCCAGCAGCCGCGGUAAUACGUAGGGUGCGAGCGUUGUCCGGAAUUACUGGGCGUAAAGAGCUCGUAGGUGGUUUGUCGCGUCGUUUGUGUAAGCCCGCAGCUUAACUGCGGGACUGCAGGCGAUACGGGCAUAACUUGAGUGCUGUAGGGGAGACUGGAAUUCCUGGUGUAGCGGUGAAAUGCGUAGAGAUUUGGAGGAACACCAGUGGCGAAGGCGGCCCCCUGGCACAAUACUGACGCUCAGGUGCGAAAGCGUGGGGAGCGAACAGGAUUAGAUACCCUGGUAGUCCAUGCCGUAAACGAUGUCUACUAGCUGUUCGUGGUCUUGUACUGUGAGUAGCGCAGCUAACGCACUAAGCAGACCGCCUGGGGAGUACGGUCGCAAGAUUAAAACUCAAAUGAAUUGACAGGGGCCCGCACAAGCGGUGGAGCAUGUGGUUUAAUUCGACGCAACGCGAAGAACCUUACCUACUCUUGACAUCUACAGAAGAUCGCAGAGAUGCGAUUGCGCCUUCGGGAACUGUAAGACAGGUGCUGCAUGGCUGUCGUCAGCUCGUGUUGUGAAAUGUUGGGUUAAGUCCCGCAACGAGCGCAACCCUUAUCCUUAGUUGCCAGCACGUAAUGGUGGGAACUCUAGGGAGACUGCCGGUGAUAAACCGGAGGAAGGUGGGGACGACGUCAAGUCAUCAUGGCCCUUACGAGUAGGGCUACACACGUGCUACAAUGGUACGUACAGAGGGAGGCAAGCUGGCGACAGUGAGCGGAUCUCAUAAAGCGUAUCGUAGUCCGGAUUGGAGUCUGCAACUCGACUCCAUGAAGUCGGAAUCGCUAGUAAUCGUGAAUCAGAGUGUCACGGUGAAUACGUUCCCGGGCCU